rnacentral:rRNA from 1 species
AGUCGAACGGCAGCACGGAGAGCUUGCUCUCUGGUGGCGAGUGGCGAACGGGUGAGUAAUGCAUCGGAACGUACCGAGUAAUGGGGGAUAACUGUCCGAAAGGAUGGCUAAUACCGCAUACGCCCUGAGGGGGGAAGCGGGGGAUCUUAGUGACCUCGCGUUAUUUGAGCGGCCGAUGUUGGAUUAGCUAGUUGGUGGGGUAAAGGCCUACCAAGGCGACGAUCCAUAGCGGGUCUGAGAGGAUGAUCCGCCACAUUGGGACUGAGACACGGCCCAAACUCCUACGGGAGGCAGCAGUGGGGAAUUUUGGACAAUGGGGGGAACCCUGAUCCAGCCAUGCCGCGUGUCUGAAGAAGGCCUUCGGGUUGUAAAGGACUUUUGUUAGGGAAGAAAAGCCGGGUGCUAAUACCACCUGGUGCUGACGGUACCUAAAGAAUAAGCACCGGCUAACUACGUGCCAGCAGCCGCGGUAAUACGUAGGGUGCGAGCGUUAAUCGGAAUUACUGGGCGUAAAGCGAGCGCAGACGGUUAAUCAAGUCAGAUGUGAAAUCCCCGAGCUCAACUUGGGACGUGCAUUUGAAACUGGUUAACUAGAGUGUGUCAGAGGGAGGUAGAAUUCCACGUGUAGCAGUGAAAUGCGUAGAGAUGUGGAGGAAUACCGAUGGCGAAGGCAGCCUCCUGGGAUAACACUGACGUUCAUGCUCGAAAGCGUGGGUAGCAAACAGGAUUAGAUACCCUGGUAGUCCACGCCCUAAACGAUGACAAUUAGCUGUUGGGACACUAGAUGUUUUAGUAGCGAAGCUAACGCGUGAAAUUGUCCGCCUGGGGAGUACGGUCGCAAGAUUAAAACUCAAAGGAAUUGAC